AACGAACGCUGGCGGCAUGCCUAACACAUGCAAGUCGAACGAGACCUUCGGGUCUAGUGGCGCACGGGUGCGUAACGCGUGGGAACCUGCCCUUAGGUUCGGAAUAACUCCCCGAAAGGGGUGCUAAUACCGGAUAAUGUCUUCGGACCAAAGAUUUAUCGCCUUUGGAUGGGCCCGCGUUGGAUUAGCUAGUUGGUAGGGUAAAAGCCUGCCAAGGCGACGAUCCAUAGCUGGUCUGAGAGGAUGAUCAGCCACACUGGGACUGAGACACGGCCCAGACUCCUACGGGAGGCAGCAGUGGGGAAUAUUGGACAAUGGGCGAAAGCCUGAUCCAGCAAUGCCGCGUGAGUGAUGAAGGCCUUAGGGUUGUAAAGCUCUUUUACCCGGGAUGAUAUUGACAGUACCGGGAGAAUAAGCUCCGGCUAACUCCGUG
rnacentral:rRNA from 1 species